UGAGAGAAAGAGGUAAAAGAAACAAAGAUACCAAUAUGUCCAGGUAAGAUGUCUGAGGUUACAUACACAGCUAAAAAAAAAAAAAAAAGUAAAAAAACACUUUAUCUUUACUAUAGUAAAACUGUGUUCUUACGGUUUUUCAGAAAGUAAUGGAGGUGAAAGUAAUGGAAACACCACAUUCAUUAGUAUUUAGAGAGGAUGCAGACAUCCACUGUGACGAAGAACACUUUCUGCAUGAUGCUGGAGAGAGGCAGAAUUAGUCACACUAUUCUUUGUUACUGGUAUGCACCUUUAGUUUUUUUUCCCAGUAAUUCCAUAAAUUACUAGAGACAAAAUACUAUUUUGAAGCAAACUGCAGAUUUUUAUUCCUUCUUCUUUACCUUACAUAAAAGU